UACGGAGGGAGCUAGCGUUGUUCGGAUAUACUGGGCGUAAAGCGCACGUAGGCGGCGCCGUAAGUCAGGGGUGAAAUCCCGGAGCUCAACUCCGGAACUGCCCUUGAAACUGCAGUGCUAGAAUCUUGGAGAGGCGAGUGGAAUUCCGAGUGUAGAGGUGAAAUUCGUAGAUAUUCGGAAGAACACCAGUGGCGAAGGCGGCUCUCUGGGACGGUACUGACGCUGAGACGCGAAAGCGUGGGGAGCGAACAGG
rnacentral:rRNA from 1 species